rnacentral:rRNA from 1 species
AGCGAACGCUGGCGGCAGGCCUAACACAUGCAAGUCGAACGAACCUUUCGGGGUUAGUGGCGGACGGGUGCGUAACACGUGGGAACGUGCCUUUAGGUUCGGAAUAACUCAGAGAAACUUGUGCUAAUACCGAAUGUGCUCUUCGGGGGAAAGAUUUAUCGGCUUUAGAGCCGCCCGCGCCUGAUUAGCUAGUUGGUUGAGGUAAUGGCUCACCAAGGCGACGAUCAGUAGCUGGUCUGAGAGGAUGAUCAGCCACAUUGGGACUGAGACACGGCCCAAACUCCUACGGGAAGCAGCAGUGGGGAAUCUUGCGCAAUGGGCGAAAGCCUGACGCAGCCAUGCCGCGUGAAUGAUGAAGGUCUUAGGAUUGUAAAAUUCUUUCACCGGGGACGAUAAUGACGGUACCCGGAGAAGAAGCCCCGGCUAACUUCGUG